rnacentral:rRNA from 1 species
GACAGAGGGUGCAAACGUUGUUCGGAUUUACUGGGCGUAAAGAGCGUGUAGGCGGCUAGAUAGGUCCGUUGUGAAAACUCGAGGCUCAACCUCGAGACGUCGAUGGAAACCAUCUGGCUAGAGUCCGGAAGAGGAGAGUGGAAUUCCUGGUGUAGCGGUGAAAUGCGCAGAUAUCAGGAAGAACACCCGUGGCGAAGGCGGCUCUCUGGUACGUGACUGACGCUGAGACGCGAAAGCGUGGGGAGCAAACAGG